rnacentral:rRNA from 1 species
UGCGUAGAUAUUGGGAAGAACACCGGUGGCGUAGGCGACUAGCUGGGCCAUAACUGACACUGAGGAACGAAAGCCAGGGGAGCGAAUGGGAUUAGAUACCCCAGUAGUCCUAGCCGUAAACGAUGGAUACUAGGUGUGGGAGGUAUCGACCCCUUCCGUGCCGGAGUUAACGCAAUAAGUAUCCCGCCUGGGGAGUACGUUCGCAAGA